UAGAUGGAUGCUCGUUGGUUGGAGCGCUCAGCUGUUAACUGAGAGUUUAGGGGAUCGAAGCCCCUCCAUCUAG
rnacentral:tRNA from 1 species